GAUGAAGAACGUAGCGAAAUGCGAUAAGUAAUGUGAAUUGCAGAAUUCAGUGAAUCAUCGAAUCUUUGAACGCACAUUGCGCCCGUCAGUAUUCUGGCGGGCAUGCCUGUUCGAGCGUCAUUACGCCCCUCAAGUCCCCUGUGGACUUGGUGUUGGGGAUCGGCGAGGCUGGUUUUCCAGCACAGCCGUCCCUUAAAUUAAUUGGCGGUCUCGCCGUGGCCCUCCUCUGCGCAGUAGUAAAACACUCGCAACAGGAGCCCGGCGCGGUCCACUGCCGUAAAACCCCCCAACUUUUUAUAGUUGACCUCGAAUCAGGUAGGACUACCCGCUGAACUUAAGCAAAUCAAUAAGCGGAGGA
rnacentral:misc_RNA from 1 species